rnacentral:rRNA from 1 species
CAAUAGCGUAUAUUAAAGUUGUUGCAGUUAAAAAGCUCGUAGUUGGAUUUCUGGUCGGAGCGACCGGUCGGCGUCCUUUGUGGCGUGUGCACUGUUGUCGGCUCCGUCCAUCCUAGUGGGAAGGCGUGUUGGCAUUCAUUUGUCGGCGCGUGGCCCCGCUACGUUUACUGUGAAAAAAUUAGAGUGUUUAAAGCAGGCGUUCGCUGUGAAUACAUUAGCAUGGAAUAAUGAGAUAGGACUUUGGUACUAUUUUGUUGGUUUGCGCACCAAGGUAAUGAUUAAUAGGGAUAGUUGGGGGUAUUCAUAUUCAAUUGUCAGAGGUGAAAUUCUUGGAUUUAUGGAAGAUGAACUUAUGCGAAAGCAUUUACCAAGGAUGUUUNCAUUAA